UACGAAGGGGGCUAGCGUUGCUCGGAAUUACUGGGCGUAAAGGGCGCGUAGGCGGACAGUUUAGUCAGAGGUGAAAGCCCAGGGCUCAACCUUGGAACUGCCUUUGAUACUGGCUGUCUUGAGUUCGGGAGAGGUGAGUGGAACUCCGAGUGUAGAGGUGAAAUUCGUAGAUAUUCGGAAGAACACCAGUGGCGAAGGCGACUCACUGGCCCGAUACUGACGCUGAGGCGCGAAAGCGUGGGGACCAAACAGG
rnacentral:rRNA from 1 species